AGUGUGGUUUACUAAACACCCAGGAUUUUUGGUUUAAAGCCGGCCCCAUUGAAAAAGGGGCUGAAGUGUCCCCGGGUUGGGUGCCCCGCGCCCAGAAAUUGCCGGGGGCUAAACUUUUACCCAACAUUUUGAAUAACCCCUUUAGAGGUUCGUGGUAGGAGGGCGUUCUAAGGGCGGUGAAGUCAGACCGGAAGGACUGGUGGAGCGCUUAGAAGGGAGAAUGCCGGUAUGGGUAGCGAAAGAAGGGUGAGAAUCCCUUCCACCGAAUAUCUAAGGUUUCCUGAGGAAGGCUCGUCCGCUCAGGGUUAGUCGGGACCUAAGCCGGGGCCGAGGGGCGUAGGCUAGGGCCACAAGGUGAAGAUUCCUGUCCAGUGGCUAAUGUUUUAACGGAUGGGGGGCACCAGAGGGAUAGGAAAUGGCACGAAGGGAA
rnacentral:rRNA from 1 species